rnacentral:rRNA from 1 species
CCUACGGGAGGCAGCAGUAAGGAAUAUUGGACAAUGCUCGCAAGAGUGAUCCAGCCAUGCCGCGUGCAGGAAGAAUGCCCUAUGGGUAGUAAACUGCUUUUGAACUAGAGAAAACCCCAGUACGUGUACUGGGCUGAUAGUAUAGUUAGAAUAAGCAUCGGCUAACUUCGUGCCAGCAGCCGCGGUAAGACGAAGGAUGCAAGCGUUAUCCGGAUUCAUUGGGUUUAAAGGGAGCGUAGGUGGACUGAUAAGUCAGUGGUGAAAUCUCCGAGCUUAACUCGGAAAUUGCCAUUGAUACUGUUGGUCUUGAGUACAGUUGCUGUGGGCGGAAUAUGACAUGUAGUGGUGAAAUACAUAGAGAUGUCAUAGAACACCGAUUGCGAAGGCAGCUCACAAAGCUGUAACUGACACUGAGGCUCGAAAGUGCGGGGAUCAAACAGGAUUAGAUACCCUGGUAGUCCGCACCGUAAACGAUGAUUACUCGCUGCUAGGGGGCACCUUUAGUGGCUUAGCGAAGCGAUAAGUAAUCCCACCGUGGAGUACGCCGGCGACGGAGAACGACGAAGAAGUUAGACGGCGNGAGGACGNGCCGACGGACGACGACGAGGGAGGAGG